CAGUAGCCACGGGAAUACGUAGGUGGCAAGCGUUGUCCGGAAUUAUUGGGCGUAAAGGGCUCGCAGGCGGUUUCUUAAGUCUGAUGUGAAAGCCCCCGGCUCAACCGGGGAGGGUCAUUGGAAACUGGGAAACUUGAGUGCAGAAGAGGAGAGUGGAAUUCCACGUGUAGCGGUGAAAUGCGUAGAGAUGUGGAGGAACACCAGUGGCGAAGGCGACUCUCUGGUCUGUAACUGACGCUGAGGAGCGAAAGCGUGGGGAGCAAAUGGGAUUAGAUACCCCCGUAGUCCCUGUCUCUUAUAC
rnacentral:rRNA from 1 species